UCCGAUAUGGUGUAGUAACUAACAUUAUCGCCUCUCACGCGAUAGCCCGGGGUUCGAUUCCCCGUGUCGGAA
rnacentral:tRNA from 1 species